GGCAGUUUAGCUUAAUCGUAAAGCACUUGGCCGGAGUCUUAAAGAGAUAUAGAUUCGAGUCCCAUAGCUGUUU
rnacentral:tRNA from 1 species